UCGGCGGUGUUUGCGGCCGCGUAUGUUGCUGAGGUGAAUAAACAGUCGAGAGCCGGUAUCCUAUCAGUCAGAGGAAUGUUGUUGACAGGACUGCUGUUUGGUGAAAGGGUGGCGUCGAAUUGAGGAGGGUACCGGGGAUAGACUCCUCGGGUGUUCUGGGCCUCAUCUUCCAUUAUCUUGCCCUGUUUUUCUUUAGACCUAUUGGAGUCUUUUAAGGAGCUACUUCGGCCGAGGACGGUUUUGAAGAAGAGUAAAGAUGUCUGAAGAUCAGGCUGAGGAAACUAGACUCUGUGCCAACUGCCAACGAGACAUUCCUGCAACUAACUUCACCAUUCAUGAAAUCCACUGUAGAAGAAAUAUUGAUCUUUGCAGGUAUUGUCAUGAACCCUUUCCUAAAUCUGAGAUGGAAGGACAUUUUGAAACAGAGCAUGCAC